rnacentral:rRNA from 1 species
GACGAACGCUGGCGGCGUGCCUAAUACAUGCAAGUAGAACGCUGAAGGAGGAGCUUGCUCUUCUGGAUGAGUUGCGAACGGGUGAGUAACGCGUAGGUAACCUGCCUGGUAGCGGGGGAUAACUAUUGGAAACGAUAGCUAAUACCGCAUAACAGUAGAUGUUGCAUGACAUUUACUUAAAAGGUGCAAUUGCAUCACUACCAGAUGGACCUGCGUUGUAUUAGCUAGUUGGUGGGGUAACGGCUCACCAAGGCGACGAUACAUAGCCGACCUGAGAGGGUGAUCUGCCACACUUGGACUGAGACACGGCCCAUACUCCUACGGGUGGCAGCAGUAGUGAAUCUUCGGCAAUGGACGGAAGUCUGACCGAGCAACGCCGCGUGAGUGAAGAAGGUUUUCGGAUCGUAAAGCUCUGUUGUAAGAGAAGAACGAGUGUGAGAGUUGAAAGUUCACACUGUGACGGUAUCUUACCAGAAAGGGACGGCUAACUACGUG